UACGUAGGGUGCAGGCGUUAAUCGGAAUUACUGGGCGUAAAGCGUGCGCAGGCGGUCUGCUAAGAGAGGUGUGAAAUCCCCGGGCUUAACCUGGGAACUGCGCUUCUAACUGGCAGGCUUGAGUGUGGCAGAGGGGGGUGGAAUUCCACGUGUAGCAGUGAAAUGCGUAGAGAUGUGGAGGAACACCGAUGGCGAAGGCAGCCCCCUGGGCUAACACUGACGCCCAUGCACGAAAGCGUGGGGAGCAAACAGG
rnacentral:rRNA from 1 species